rnacentral:rRNA from 1 species
CUGGGAUUAGAUACCCUGUUAUUUAAAAUGUAAAUUAUUUAUUAAGGUAGUAAUAGUUAUGUUCUUGAAACUUAAAAAAUUUGGCGGUAUUUUAGUCUAUUCAGAGGAACCUGUUCUGUAAUUGAUAUUCCACGUUGGACCUUACUUAAAUUUGUUUUGCAAUUUAUAUACCGUUGUUAUUAAAAUAUUUUUAAAAAAAGAUAAUAUUUAAUUUUUUGGAUAAAAAUUUAUAUCAAAUCAAGGUGUAGUUUAUGUUUAAGUAGAAAUGGGUUACAUUAAAUUUAUUUUUGGAUAUAAAUAUGAAAAAUUUAUUGAAAUUGGAUUUGAUAGUAAAAUUAUAUAGAUUAAUAAUUUGAUUUUAGCUCUAAAAUAUGUACAAAUCGCCCGUCACUCUCUG